rfam:Ipomoea nil DNA, scaffold: scaffold2280, cultivar: Tokyo-kokei standard.
GCCCGUCUAGCUCAGUUAGUAGAGCGCAAGGCUCUUAACCUUGUGGUCGUGGUUUUUAGCCCCACGGUGGGCG